rnacentral:lncRNA from 1 species
GUCUAAUUUAUUCACAUUCCAUGUCUAAAUUGAGUGAAACCAAAGCUUUUGAAUUCUUAAAAUCUAUACCUACAUUUCUUAUGAAGAUGCUUAAACCAAAUUUUGUAAUUUAAACCGUGAUUUUGGGCAAAUUUUGUUGCACAACGCAAUCAACUCGUUUGUGUGAACUAUUGCACAAUGAAAACACGUCAAGUAUGAUCAAUUUUGUCCAUCUAAGGCUUUUGCUCGUCUUGCGAGCCAACAUAAAACCUUGCUCACAUGUGCGGCAGGACUGCUCUCAUGUGCAACGAUGUGCAAAACUAGACAACAUUUAAGGGUUUUACAUGAGAUAUUACCUUUUUCAUUCAAAUUAUUGCAUGAAAGUUAUAGGCAAACCUGGCCUCACAUAACCAUUCUCUAUAACCUUCAAGAACCUUCGUUCCUUCAUUGAUUCUGGAUUAAUCUUAUCAUUCUCAUGCAUUAGAAAGCCAAAUCUCACCAUAGAAAUUCCUGAUAUUGUGAAUUUUAUUUUCAUAUGCAAAUGUUAAUCGUAAGUACACUGUCAGAGGGGAGGGGAAAUGUUGGCAGCAAAGAUCGAACCCUGAACCUCCAUCUUAAACUCUUUAAAUGGAUGAUGCUGCCGAAGACACAAUAACAUAUACCCUGAAAUUACAAAAUACAUAAACAUAUACUAAACCCAAAAAGAAAGACUCAUAAGGCUUCCCAAUCAAUUUCAACAGAAGGGAACUUCUUCAACCCAAAAUUCUCGACUUCAUCCCACUGGCUAGAAUCUGAGAAAUCCAAGAAAGUAAGACCUGAUUCUGGUGAAGACAAUCCAAGCGAACAUUCAUCAGACAUAGACGAAAACGCCUUAAAAUCCUCAAACACGAAUUCACCCAUUGAUUGUGCAGGAACAUGUACCAGAGGCUUUACAUCUUCAACAGAGGAACAUGGCUUUUCUGUGUUCCCCUGUUUUUGAGAAAUAGCUAAAGUUUCGCAAAUAGCUUGAAGUUUUGAAUCAACCGAGGAAGGAAGCGGAUUGUAGCUUCCAUGGAAGCGCAUGUGAGGAAAAUUGAGACGUGAAAAUUCACCUCUAAGCUUAUAAGCUGCGUUAUCAUAAGCAAAAGCUGCUUCCUCUGCUGUAUCAAAUGUACCUAACCAUAGACGCGUGCGGUUUUUUGGAAGUCGUAUUUCAGCAACCCAUUUUCCCCAAUGACGUUGUCUAACUCCACGGUAGAGUUUCGUUGGUUUUGAGGGAAUUCCAAAGUAUUUCAUGGGAACUGGCUUUUGGGUAAGGGGUUUAUUUUGUUGUUGUUGUUGGCGGGUUUGGAAUUGGGUUUGAAUUUGAAGGAUUUGUGAUGGAGUGAGUUGGUUGAGACCAAUGGAACUUGCUUGGAUUCCGUAAUUGGGAUUCAAAUUUGGUGUAAGUGGAGAUUGUUCAGAGAUUGAUGAAGAAGAACUAGUUUUCAUAAAAGGCUCGAGUGCUUUCAUUAGUUCUUCUUCAUUAUAUGGAUCUAAGAAACCAUGUGUCAUGUUUUUGUUGCUAUUGUACAUAUUUAUGGUUGUU